UUGGACGCUAGUCCUCAGACCCCAGGGCCCUCAAUAAAGCACCGCACUAAACAACCUAGUUGUUUCGUGUCUCUCUGUCGGGCAACAGUUUUCUGGCGACCGCGGCAGGACUCCGAGGGCUGCUGGGGCGGUUCGCGUCCUGAUCCACUCCACGCCGGCACCGAGUGAUUCUCGGGGAGUCAUCGGUUCGUGCCCGACCCCGCGCCUGUCGGACAACUGCAGGAGUCCUUACAGCGCUGCGAGGAGCAUUGCAGUGGAACCGGCCUCUGCCCUUGGAAAAUCCUGUCCAUGACAUCCAGCCAGGAGAUCAA